rnacentral:rRNA from 1 species
GAUGAACGCUAGCUACAGGCUUAACACAUGCAAGUCGAGGGGAAACGAUGAGAGAGCUUGCUCUCUUAGUCGUCGACCGGCGCACGGGUGAGUAACGCGUAUCCAACCUGCCUCUGACCAAGGGAUAACCCGUCGAAAGUCGGACUAAUACCUUAUGCAGUCGUCGGAAGUCAUCUGAUGACGACGAAAGAUUUCAUCGGUGAGAGAUGGGGAUGCGUCUGAUUAGCUUGUUGGCGGGGUAACGGCCCACCAAGGCGACGAUCAGUAGGGGUUCUGAGAGGAAGGUCCCCCACAUUGGAACUGGGACACGGUCCAAUCUCCUACGGGAGGCAGCAGUGAGGAAUAUUGGUCUAUGGGCGUAAGCCUGAACCAGCCAAGUAGCGUGCAGGAUGACGGCCCUAUGGGUUGUAAACUGCUUUUAUGCGGGGAUAAAGUGAGGGACGUGUCCUUCAUUGCAGGUACCGCAUGAAUAAGGACCGGCUAAUUCCGUG